rnacentral:rRNA from 1 species
GCCAUGCAUGUCUCAGUACAAGCCAAAUUAAGGUGAAACCGCGAAAGGCUCAUUAAAUCAGUUAUGGUUCCUUAGAUCGUACCCACAUUUACUUGGAUAACUGUGGUAAUUCUAGAGCUAAUACAUGCAAACAGAGCUCCGACCGGAGACGGAAGGAGCGCUUUUAUUAGAUCAAAACCAAUCGGUGGCGGUUUCCGUCAUCGUACAACUUGGUGACUCUGAAUAACUUUACGCUGAUCGCACGGUCUUGCACCGGCGACGCAUCUUUCAAAUGUCUGCCUUAUCAACUGUCGAUGGUAGGUUCUGCGCCUACCAUGGUUGUAACGGGUAACGGGGAAUCAGGGUUCGAUUCCGGAGAGGGAGCCUGAGAAACGGCUACCACAUCCAAGGAAGGCAGCAGGCGCGCAAAUUACCCACUCCCGGCACGGGGAGGUAGUGACGAAAAAUAACGAUACGGGACUCAUCCGAGGCCCCGUAAUCGGAAUGAGUACACUCUAAACCCUUUAACGAGGAUCAAUUGGAGGGCAAGUCUGGUGCCAGCAGCCGCGGUAAUUCCAGCUCCAAUAGCGUAUAUUAAAGUUGUUGCGGUUAAAAAGCUCGUAGUCGAAUCUGUGUCCCGCGCCGCCGGUUCAUCGUUCGCGGUGUUAACUGGCGUGCCGCGGGACGUCCUGCCGGUGGGCUUAGCUCGCGAGGGCGGCCCAACUCAAUCCCGCCGCGGUGCUCUUCAUUGAGUGUCGAGGUGGGCCGGCACGUUUACUUUGAACAAAUUAGAGUGCUUAAAGCAGGCUAAAACUUUGCCUGAAUACUGUGUGCAUGGAAUAAUGGAAUAGGACCUCGGUUCUAUUUUGUUGGUUUUCGGAACCCCGAGGUAAUGAUUAAUAGGAACGGAUGGGGGCAUUCGUAUUGCGACGUUAGAGGUGAA